GCUCUCAUCCUGAUGGUAGCUUUCAGCUGUUUUGCACACCAAGGUCCCUGGAUGUGGUGAUACAGUAGAAUUAACAAGAAACAACUGGAAAAAAAGGGCAUGUUGCUACCCAAAAAGGUCACAGAGGGAGAAUGAAAUGGUGCUGUGCCACGUACUGGUAUUCCUGAGACUGAAACUCUAGAGAGCAGAAGAUGGAGCUUUCUUGGCAGCUAACUCAUACCUGCAGAAAUCCCUCAUUGCAGGUGGUGAGAGGUGUGAAAACUACAGCUACUUUCAAAGUCAAGAGCUCCUGAAACUUGAAUGUUCGUGUUCACUGCCAUUUAGGGGCUGAAAGAAGUGGGGCUAUACAGGCUAAGGAAGACAUCCCAAUAGUCUUCACAUCUUUAAAGGCUACUUUGAGAGGAAAGUAAUAAUCAUCCCCAUGCUGAGCAAAAAGAAACAUAGACUGGAAUUGCAGAGAGGCAGAAUGAGCUUAGACAUUAGCACAAACUCAAAAUAAGGAGAGUGAAGGAGUGCCUAUGAAUACUGUGAAAUUUCCAUCACUGAAGAUGUUUAAAAGGUUUGUCACUCAUGGAACACAAGGCUGUCUUUAAUGUUCUUUUGCUGGGUAAACAGAGCCAGGUCAGAUGUGUGCUCUUCUUGAACUUGAGUGGAAGUGAGGCUGUGGAAUAUCAAACAUGAUAUCAUCGUUCUGGCCAUUACCUUUUGCCAUAUAAAAAUUAAUAUCCACUUUGUGCUUUGCAAGAAUCACAAGAGCAGCCUUCCACAUGGCCAGCUAUCCAACCCUCCUAAGCUACUCAACCCAAGCAAGAAUAAGAAGGAACAAAUAUCUCCAAAGUAUUGCCGCUUUCUGAAGUCCUCACAAUUGAAACCUUUGUGAUUCCACA